rnacentral:tRNA from 1 species
GUUGUGGCUCGGUGGUAGAGUGCUUGCCUGGCAUGUGUAAGGCCCUGGGUUCGAUCCUCAGCAUAACA